rnacentral:misc_RNA from 1 species
UCAACCAGGUAGCAUCAUUAACAACGUCGGCCUCGUACGUAGCAUAAAAUGCUAGUAUGGCACGACAGUCACAAACGCUUCAAGCAUUAAAUGCUUUUUAAGGGGCAAGUAUCCGAUAUCCACCGAGUUACCCUCGCGGCAUUCAAAAUCCGAGAACACGAGCCAAUACCCCGCAAACCAAGCCACUGGCCAUACGAUACGAGCCGCCACACUAGUGUGGUUAGACUGCAGGGACCGCUUUAUUGUCCAUCUUUAAAAAGCCCAAAAGUUUCAUAUGAUGGAGGGACAGAGUACGAUUGCUAGUUCCACCAUGCUAGGUAGGAAACACAAGGACCACGUAGCCCAACGCAUAAAUGUGCGUGAAGCCAUAGUGAAAACACGCGUCAACGAUUCCCCCUACAUAGACGGGAAGC